GACGAACGCUGGCGGCGCGCCUAACACACGCAAGUCGAACGAGCGAGAGGAGGUUUACUUUCUCAAGCGAGUGGCGAACGGGUGAGUAACGCGUGAGGAACCUGCCUCAAAGAGGGGGACAACAGUUGGAAACGACUGCUAAUACCGCAUAAGCCCACGACCCGGCAUCGGGUAGAGGGAAAAGGAGCAAUCCGCUUUGAGAUGGCCUCGCGUCCGAUUAGCUAGUUGGUGAGGUAAUGGCCCACCAAGGCGACGAUCGGUAGCCGGACUGAGAGGUUGAACGGCCACAUUGGGACUGAGACACGGCCCAGACUCCUACGGGAAGCAGCAGUGGGGAAUAUUGCACAAUGGGGGAAACCCUGAUGCAGCGACGCCGCGUGGAGGAAGAAGGUCUUCGGAUUGUAAACUCCUGUUGUUGAGGAAGAUAAUGACGGUACUCAACAAGGAAGUGACGGCUAACUACGUG
rnacentral:rRNA from 1 species